UUAUAUUCUCCACAGGGGGGGAUGAGAACCCCCGACCGGGGUUCGACAACUGGCGCAGCCAGUAGGACAGACUGCGAGCCUGCGAGCAGGCUGCCCCGCAGGGGCGAGCGAAGCGAGUCAAUCCCCCCCUCACCGCCA
rnacentral:sRNA from 1 species